rnacentral:lncRNA from 1 species
AGGUGGGGAAAUGGUGUGAGCGAAGGCGUGGAGGUGAGGAGCCCAAGUGGGGCUUUAUCCUAAAGGUGCUGGAGCUGCCGCGCCUGCCCGGACUACAACAGCGCCUGCCCCGCGUCGCACCAGGGCCUACUGGCCACUCCGUGGUGCCUGUCCACAGCCUGUGUUGACUGACAAUCGCUGGGCCGGAUCUGGGGGCGGGAGCACUGAGGGAAUCCGAUGUACCCCCAAGGGAGUGUGCCAGGUGGUGGACACUAUGAGUACGCCAGGGAAGUACCUGCAUGGAGAAGGACCUGGCCUUCCUCCAAGGGGAGGGGGAGGCAGGGAUGAUGCCCCGAGUUCUUCCUGGGCCUCCAGAGCCAGCUGUGUGGAGGUACUGGGCUGAGAACUCCACGGUUCCCCUGGUGGACAAAGCCAGAGAAGUCGCAGAGCUACUUCCUGCGAGAGUUUGUGAUGCUGCAGGAGCCAUCUUGUGACCAAGAAGAGACUGCCUGGAGCACAGCAGAGGCGAUUCCAGGUCCGGUGCACCUGAGCUGGGCCCAGCUGCAGAAACUCUUUCUUCUCAUUAAAUGAAAGAAGCACAAACCCCCUGUUGUUGAAACAAUUGUCUUUGGAGUUUUUUCUUUUAAUUGCAAAUGAAACAUGCAUUUAGCGUAGUGUGGUUAGCUUAGCUCCUUCCAAACUCUCUUCCUUGAAUACUGGU